CUCUUAACAAUUAAAAGUUUUGUUUUGGUCCUUUAACUUAAUUUUUGGUUUCGUUUUGGUCCCUUAACUCUUUCUCCGUCAACCACUUUGGUCCUUUAUGUUAGGAUGAAUGUAUUAGAGUUAAGGGACCAAAAUGAAACCAAAAAAUAAGUUAAGGGACUAAAACGAAACCAAAAAAUAAGUUAAGGGACCAAAACGAAACCAAAAAAUAAGUUAAGGGACCAAAACGAAACUUUUAAUAGUUAAGGGA
rnacentral:pre_miRNA from 1 species